rnacentral:rRNA from 1 species
UACGUAGGGGGCAAGCGUUGUCCGGAAUCAUUGGGCGUAAAGCGCGUGUAGGCGGCUCGAUAAGUCUGCUGUGAAAGUCCAGGGCUCAACCCUGGGAUGCCGGUGGAUACUGUCGAGCUCGAGUCCGGAAGAGGAGUGUGGAAUUCCUGGUGUAAGCGGUGGAAUGCGCAGAUAUCGGGAGGAACACCAAUGGCGAAGGCAGCUCGCUGGGACGGUACUGACGCUGAGGCGCGAAAGCGUGGGGAGCAAACAGG